GAUUCAUUAGCGCAUGAGGAUCUAAUUCCUGGUUUUUGCAAAUUCUAUUACGUGACCUAGGAAUGUUCCAGUUUUUCUGUAGGAAUUCUUUGUUGGUGAAUUUUUUUCAAGUCUUACCCCUAGUUUCUAGUUUUGCUUUCCUAUCUUUGUGGUUUUUCAUACUGGAAGAGUUUUGAUCAUAGUUUUACCCCCUAGUCUCUAGUUUUACAAUUGCGUUGCUGUGCAUUUUUUUUCCUCUAUAAUCAAUGCUUUUCUAAGUGGGCAAGAAAUAAUAGUGAAAAGUGUCUCUAUUUAGAACUUAACCUACAAUUUUUUUCCUUAAAGCAUUGCUGAUAUCAAAAUAGACCAUAUAUGCCAAUGAUUCUUGAAUAUCUUCUGAAUAUAAGCAAAGAUCAUUUAUUUUUCUUUUUUUGAACCUUUUGAUCUGAUUUCUCCAUACAACUCAUGUUUCUAUAUUUGUAGAUCUAUUAAUAUAAUCAAUCUAGGUUUUUUUUUUUUUUUUUGUUCUUCAGGUUUGUUUAUGUGAGUAUAUUAUAUGACUUUGUUCUUUUGAGAUCUCUGCUCGUCCAUUAUUUUUUGUUGUUUUUUUUUUUUUUUGUCCCCCCAUCUUGGUUCCUCUGUUUUUUUUAUUUUUCUUUUUUAUUUGAUAAGUCAUGUUGAUGGUGUUGGAUAAACAUUAGAUGGAUAUAAAAUAAGUGGUGGAAUGGAGAUUUAAAUCUUUUGUCAAUAUGAAUAUAUGAUUGAUCCUAUUCUAGGUUGUAUAAUAAUGGAAAAGAGUAAUCAUGUCAUUUUUUUGUUUCAUUUUUGCUUCUUCAGUUUCCAUGACAUCUUUUCUGGCAACCUCUCCUAAUAUUUCUGAAAAAUUAAUGGUUAUGUGAAGGCUUGGGAUGAAAAGAAGGUCGAGUUGGGAACUCCAUCACAGAAAUGUUUCCUUCCCUUUCUCAUCGGCAUGCCAAACUGGCUCGAGAAGGGAUUCAUCAGCUCCAAAUAUUCAAAUUUGGGCCAGCAGUUAGCAAAUUGUUUAUAGCCUUCUCACCAUGGCUUUAGUUUGGUGAGGUGGAUAUUGAGGGUUCAUUGGUUGCUAGUAUUAUUUUAAACAAGAUAGAUUUGGUGACUGAGGCUGACUUGGAGGUGUUCACAAAGCGAAUUCAGCAUAUCAAUGGGAUGACACAGUUAAAGCUGGCUAAAUAUGGCGUUGUCGACAUGGACUUUGUUUUGGGAGUGGGCGGUUAUGAUCUAGAUAGAAUUGAUUUAGAGGUUCAGUUGGAUAGUUCUCAUUGUGAAUCCCAUCAGUGUUGUUAAAGGCGCGCCUAGGCUCGAGGCUCAGGUUUAGCGCUUGUUGCCAUCCCAGGCUCACUGAUGUUGGAAAUGAGAAGGACCGGAUCGAGGUGAAGAUGAGAAACGGUGUACAGAAGAUGGUCAUUUCCAAAUGGAAAGGCGUCACCACCAUCAAAAUCAACAACUGAGCUUCCAUCGCUGUCCUUCCGAGCUCAUCUAUGUUCAUCCUGUUUGCUUAAUUCUUUUUUAGGGUUUGUUCAUUGAUCGAUUGAUCUCUUUUGAUUUCACUAUGUUCUGGUUUUUGAAGCUUUGAAAAAUGUUGAUGCUCUAUGUAGUUGAUGGAUCUUUUGUUUGAGGGUUCCCAAAUCCCAACUGAAAAAUGUUGAUGCUUUGUGUGUGCACCACAAA